GUAUAUUCUUCAUCUGAAGAUGUUCUUCCAGUCUCUGAGUCCCCUGGACCAGGCUGUCCUCCUCUGAGUGCCCUCACAUCAGCAUGUGCCACCCUGCCUGUGAUUACCUGGUUCCUUGGGUCAUCAUGACCAACACGAGGAGCCAACCCUUUCCUGGAGCUGGGGCUAGAUCUGGGAAGAGGAAACAGCUUUGCCUUCCAGGAGGCUCACAGGUGACACAGACAAGAGGAGAGGCGAUGACUAGACUCUCAUCCUAACAACCUCCUUCACCAGACAGAGGCUCUGGAGGAGAGAGGAUCCCAGGUUCUUCACCUUGCAUCUUUAGCACCUAACCCAGAGCAAUACCGGGGAUCAAACUCAAGGCCUUGUGCUUGCCAGGCAGAUGCCAUGCCACUGAGCUAUGUCCCAGACCUGAAGAUUAUGUCUGAUUUUUAAUAUGGACAUUUUCACUCACCUGUGACUAGUAUCUACAGCCUUCCGAACACAAACCAAAGCCUCUUGGAGUCUGAAGAAUUACAGUUUGUUUAUGAGUGGCCAGGAAGAACCCAGCCAGAGAAAAUCCCUGCCUGCUGUGGGCCCUGAAGGAGCUGUUGUCUCCGAUGAUCACAUCUCCAGACCAGCACAGGUCCCAGGGGGCUGCUGUCCAUACCGUGGCAAGGAACCAGACUGAGACCCGCAGGUGGAGAAAUGGUGGGGACACAAGGAUCGAAGACUGUCAUUCACUCCUGUGUUCACUCACUUGCUCCAUGAUACUUCCUAAGCAUCCAGUGUGGACAGGACAUUGCUUCUCUGGAGACACAGCAGGCAACAACAUUCCGCCAUCCAAAAG
rnacentral:lncRNA from 1 species